AGGGCAGCGUCCACGUGAGACCUGGUCCACGACAGAACCGGUGGUCUCACAUGGACGCUGCCCU
ensembl:miRNA